rnacentral:rRNA from 1 species
UGGGGAAUUUUCCGCAAUGGGCGCAAGCCUGACGGAGCAAUACCGCGUGAGGGAGGAAGGCUUUUGGGUUGUAAACCUCUUUUGUUAAGGAAGAAAAUUUGACGGUACUUAACGAAUCAGCAUCGGCUAACUCCGUGCCAGCAGCCGCGGUAAUACGGAGGGUGCAAGCGUUGUCCGAAUUUAUUGGGUUUAAAGGGUACGUAGGCGGGCUAUUAAGUCUGGGGUGAAAGCUUUCGGCUCAACCGGAAAAUUGCCCUGGAUACUGGUAGUCUUGAGUACAGUAGAGGUGGGCGGAAUUCAUGGUGUAGCGGUGAAAUGCAUAGAUACCAUGAGGAACACCGAUAGGGAAGCCAGCUCACUAGACUGUCACUGACGCUGAGGUACGAAAGCGUGGGGAGCGAACAGGAUUAGAUAC